rnacentral:lncRNA from 1 species
AUGGAAUGCUCCUUUACCAGAAUUACCGAAUCCCUCAGCAGAGGAAGGCCUUGCUGUCCCCGUUCUCGACGCCAGUGCGCAGUGUCUCCGAGAACUCCCUCGUGGCAAUGGAUUUUUCUGGGCAAACAGGACGCGUGAUAGAGAAUCCGGCAGAGGCCCAGAGCGCAGCCCUGGAGGAGGGCCACGCCUGGAGGGUAAGGCCCCGGCCCUGGCCAGCCUGGAGGGGCACCCUCAAGGUGGUAGCCCCACCACGUGGUCUUCUCCCAGAGGAACAGCUCUAUGCGGGUUGGCAAGAGGGGUGCCAUGUUGGGUGGGGUGAGUUCUCAGCUGCAGGAAGCAGUUGGCCCUUCUAGGCCCCUUCCAUGUUCCCAGCACCCAGCCUUUCCCCGCUGUCCCCUGUCCCCUGGGCUUUCAUGGAAGGGACAGGAGAGGAACAGAGUUCUCUGCCCUCCGUGGCUCCUAUGCAGAACUGUUCUGCUGAUGAACUGGCAGUGGCUGUCUGUGGAGUGCACAGAGCCCAGGCCUGAGUGGGGCCAGCAGGUGCUCACAUCAAGGUCUGCUACUAACAGCCUGGA